rnacentral:lncRNA from 1 species
GUGAAUGGUCUCCCCCUUGAUGUUCUCCCCCAAACACCUAUGUCAGAUUAUGGGGAGAAAAAAAAAUCAAAAUGAUUUUACAAAUAAAGGAAAUUUAGGUAGAAAUGCAAGUACAAUUAGACAUUUUAACUUUUAUAUCCAUCCUGCAUCACCGUCAAUGGAUGCCCUACCUCAUGUAGUUGCUCGGGUAAGACUGUUGAUUGCAGAUAUAGAUCUCUU